GGGGAGUUGGCGACCAGAAAUUUUUUUUGGCUACUGGAUUUUCGAAAUUAUUUCGAGCACUGCAUACGAGGGCCUUUAGUGAUGAUGUCUACCACGAAUUGCGGUAAGGUGAUAUCACCGAUAAUCGUUGUGACGUCUUCUAGUCUGAGAGAUUCUUUGCUACUCCUUCCACCGAGUUGUUUUUUAAUUAACCACUUCAACUUUGUGUUUGGAUCUAAGGUUCUUCUGCAAUCUCUGUAUUUCAGCUUUGUACUUUGUAGCAUUCCGGUUGUGGUCAGGGAGACUGAGGGAGUGUAUUUCUAUUUCUAAGUUGGACUUGGCUUACUUCAGACUGUAGACCCUCAGCCUUGAGUCAAAUCCUCUUCGUAUUCCUUUGUAUUUUUGCGGACUUGACCGGUAGUCUGAUCUUGUAGAUAGAACUAGGGAGGACAUUAUUCAAUUUACACUGCUCCAGGAACUCCCACGUUUCCUGCACUUUCACUAAUUUGAUCAACAAUUUUCUCAGUUCCAUAUAUCGUUCCAUAUCGUAAUAGCUGGCUCAGCUAAUUAUAACUAUACCAACACAAGCUUCUGCUUUGUAUGGAGUUCAACUUGGCAAGGGAUAUCAACUCCGAGCACUAGUAAGUAGUCCAAG
rnacentral:lncRNA from 1 species